CACAUAGGAAUUUCCUGUGAUUCUCUCACUGUAUUUAGCGUUGGUGCAGCCUCAUCUCAAGUACUGUGUGCAGUUCUGAGCUCCACAAUAAAAAAGUAUGUUAAGAUACUUGAAAGCAUCCAGAGGAGGGCAACAAAGCUGGU